AGCACAAAAUUGAUUAUCCAAGCGUCUCUUGCUCUCUCCCAAGUCUCAAACCUUGAAACCUAGCAAAUUUUUUAUUUAAAUUGGUUUCAAUGGUUACUCGAUUCUUUAGUUCCUUCUCAUCCAUCACCCAAUCUUUCUCCUCUUUAUGUUUCUGUUAUUCUACGGUGAUCAUAUGAAUUUUUCAGCUUUCCAUCAAUGUAGGAUGAGGUACAAAUCAAAAUAGGUGCUAUUGGAAGUUGGAGUUGCAAGUCAAUCUCGAUCAAAAAAGAAAGAACAAGAAGGAAAAAAGCAAAUUCCAAAUUUCCAGUUGGAUUUGCAAGUCAAUCUCGAUCAGAAAAGAAAAAACAAGAAGGAAAAAAGUUGUUCGCCAACUUUCAGUUUGAAGCUUGAGUAAAAUAUCAUAUUUGGCUCGGGACUACAAUGCUAUUUUGUGCUACUUUUCAUGUUGUAAGCACCCUGUUCAUUUGGGGGGUCAGCCACCAUAUUCAAGAUGAGAAUACUGGACGAAUAUAUCUAUAUGGCUUCCUUGUUUAAGCAUAUAAUUCAUAGAGGACGACCACGAAACAUGCUGAACUCUUGCCAUGCUCGAUGGCAGUGGAGUUUAUUCUUCAAUAGGAAUUCAGACCGAAGGUGCUGGAAACUAACGCUUUGGUGGUGCAGCGUCAAUUGACCUCCCAUGAGGGAAGGAAUACAUCGACUCUUGGUCGGUUGUAUGAGGAAUUGGUCGAAAUCUUGGCUGCCAGAUAUUUCCGUUUCCUAUAAGGGUCGGAAUGGCAAUAGGGUGGCUCAUAUUCUUGCUGCUCAUGCAUGUAGUGAAUCUCAGGAUUAUUUCUUUUUUUCUACACCUUCUUUUCUUCAAGCUGCUAUUGCAACAGAUGUUCGUUUGAUGUAAUCUUCACUUGUCUUUUAAUAAAGGGCCGACAUCCAAUCUUUA